AAGUCGUAACAAGGUUUCCGUAGGUGAACCUUCGGAAGGAUCAUUAUUGAGAUCACUAUUACACCUGUGAAUUUUGACAAUUGCUUGGUUGACUAGGUUUUCUUUAGGGAAAAACGAAGCGGCCAUCUUUUAAAAACUACAAAUUACUAAAUUUUGUCUGAAAAAUACUAAAUUUAAAAACUAUUAACAACGGAUCUCUUGGUUCUC
rnacentral:misc_RNA from 1 species